rnacentral:rRNA from 1 species
UCGUUUACGGCGUGGACUACCAGGGUAUCUAAUCCUGUUUGCUCCCCACGCUUUCGCAUCUGAGCGUCAGUCUUUGUCCAGGGGGCCGCCUUCGCCACCGGUAUUCCUUCAGAUCUCUACGCAUUUCACCGCUACACCUGAAAUUCUACCCCCCUCUACAAGACUCUAGCCUGCCAGUUCCAAAUGCUAUUCCGAGGUUGAGCCCCGGGCUUUCACAUCUGGCUUAACAAGCCGCCUGCAUGCGCUUUACGCCCAGUAAUUCCGAUUAACGCUCGCACCCUCCGUAUUACCGCGGCUGCUGGCACGGAGUUAGCCGGUGCUUCUUCUGUUGCUAACGUCAAACACAUACGCUAUUAACGUAUACGCCUUCCUCACAACUGAAAGUGCUUUACAACCCGAAGGCCUUCUUCACACACGCGGCAUGGCUGCAUCAGGGUUUCCCCCAUUGUGCAAUAUUCCCCACUGCUGCCUCCCGUAGGAGUCUGGACCGUGUCUCAGUUCCAUUGUGGCUGAUCAUCCUCUCAGACCAGCUAGAGAUCGUCGCCUUGGUGAGCUCUUACCUCACCAACUAGCUAAUCUCACCUGGGCUAAUCCUGACGCGAGAGGCCCGAAGGUCCCCCUCUUUGCUCCGAAGAGAUUAUGCGGUAUUAGCCAUCGUUUCCAAUGGUUAUCCCCCACAUCAGGGCAUAUUCCCAGGCAU